AGUAAUGUGUAAACACCGUUUCCUGUACGAUCACCAAAGUUAAGCAACUUCGAGCCUGGUUAGUACCUAGAUCGGUGACCACUUGUGAAUAUCGAGUGCUGUAAU